CUUCGGAGGGGUAACUUCCUUCCCCGCCGCGUCCAGCAACUCUCGCAGGGAACGCACGGGUGCUGCUGUUCCCUUAAUCGGUCUGCCCGCGGUCAGCCCGAAGAAUCGCGCAACCCUGGACUCCGCCCUGGUCUCCGGCCACCACUCCGAGAAAAAGGCAUGAUGAAAUUUUACUGGGCUCAGCAAACGUGUCUCAGCCCGAUGGAGCAGAUACAGACCCUCUACUCAAUCGGGGAAGCUUCAAGUAAUCAAGAUGCCAUUUGGAGUGCAUGAAGGUCAGCACCCAGGAAGAAGACACCUGAACUUCUCUGGUGCUAAGGACACACACGAAAUCAGUGGCUUUGGCUCUGAAACAGUGAAUGACGGCCACAGCAGCUGGAGCUGAUUUCAGGGUUCACCUGAGCUGUGAUGUGUUCAUUCCUGCAGGCAGGUGGGGAGAGGGGAGGAGUCAACAAUGCAGGAGGGAAGCUGCCAGAAGUGCAGAGUUCACUCUGCUUUGCAUGCUUGCCUAAACCUGUUGGGUGGACUGUUGGGGCUGGCAGGCACCAAGAGGCCAUAGAACCAGUGCCCUGCUGCUGUAUUUGUCUGCUACUAGGAUGCUUCUGUGCUGAACUGAUUGGCUGGGGCUUUUCUCCUCCUCUUUAAUUUAUAGUGUACAAAAGAAAAUAAAUUCUCUCAAUACAAGCUGAAAAACACUCCACAUUCUACUAACAGCUCUGCCUCUUCUGCAGCCAUUUCUGUGUUUGCUGGAAACCCUACAACAGGUCACAAAAAGGUCUGAGGAAUUUGAUUGGCAUGUUUGCUCCUUGUUUAUGUGCCAUUUUCUGUG